UCCCCAGCCAGGACCCUUUGGAUCGAGCCGACUUCAAUGCUGUUGAAUACAUUAAUACCUUGUUUCCAACAGAACAGUCUUUGGCGAAUAUAGAUGAAGUGGUGAAUAACAUUCGACUUAAAAUCAGACGCUUGGAUGACAACAUCAGGACAGUGGUGAGGGGACAGACUAAUGUGGGGCAGGAUGGCAGACAGGCGUUGGAGGAGGCCCAGAAAGCCAUCCAGCAACUCUUUGGCAAAAUCAAAGACAUCAAAGACAAAGCAGAGAAAUCGGAGCAAA